rnacentral:rRNA from 1 species
AUGGGAUGAUAGUGGUCCACUGGCAAGCUCGUUCUGAACCUGGACGCAGUACAUUGGAAUCCUGAAGCACCACCACGAAUGCUACGUGUGCGCCUGCAGUGCGGUAAGGUACUGCCUUGUUGUGCCAGCAGUCAACUCCACCAUGUCACCUUAGUUGUCCACAUCAAGCCACAACCUUGA